rnacentral:rRNA from 1 species
CCUUUGACGUUAGCGGCGGACGGGUGAGUAACACGUGGGUAACCUACCUAUAAGACUGGGAUAACUUCGGGAAACCGGAGCUAAUACCGGAUAAUAUUUCGAACCGCAUGGUUCGAUAGUGAAAGAUGGUUUUGCUAUCACUUAUAGAUGGACCCGNGCCGUAUUAGCUAGUUGGUAAGGUAACGGCUUACCAAGGCGACGAUACGUAGCCGACCUGAGAGGGUGAUCGGCCACACUGGAACUGAGACACGGUCCAGACUCCUACGGGAGGCAGCAGC